GGGGUCGUGACAAGUUGUCAGUCCUUUCGAUGAUACAACAGUUAAUUACCUACAAAAAGAAAUGGAGCAAUUGUUAUUAUCUCCGCAGAGCAGUUCGACUUUUCAGAGGCAACAAUCAACUUACACAGCAUGGAACCAAAGGAAAGUAAGCCAUUUUUCCACCCACUUUUGUUAACUUAGCAUCCUCAUCAAAGGCCCGAACCUUAAACAACAGAUCCAGAGUUUUAAUUAUCGCUUCAGUUGUUGGAGUAUAUUUGAAGUCAAAAGUUCAUCAACUCUUAACUCACAAUUCUGUUGAGUAACAGCACAACAUUUGCAAGGAGCUGGUCGUCCUGAUUGACCAGCACGUUCGUUGGCACACGGCUUCUACAUGGGAGCGACCACCAAACACUCAAUUCCUGUCCGAGUCAGCUUUUGGCAGUAAUCGUCAACUUAUUUUAAUUUACUUAACAUCCAAACUACAAAAGGAGCUUCAAGAACAGAAGCUAACAGAGUACAAAG